rnacentral:lncRNA from 1 species
AGCACUCACACGCAGGCACUCUUACACCUGAACCUUGUCUUCGGCUAUGUUCUCUGUUAUUUGUGUUGAGGAAAUACACAAAUACCAAAAAGUGUAUAUUUUUAUUGAAAGCUGCAGGUUGUUUAUUUGGUUUUCUUUCAUCAAGCAGUAAGCUCUUUGAUACAACGCAAGACCACCAAUUACUGACGCCGGGAUGUUAGGUCUAAUUGGCAAAUCUGCGGGGGGUGGCCCCCUUGUCCUCGCGGUCACCGUAGGAUUGGCAGUAUUGGCCGUGCUGUGGGAGCUUAAGAGGAAAAUAAGUGUCUGCGCUACAGAUUUACCCAAACGUGAAUUUGUUGAACAGCAUGAAGACGGACAAUUAGAUUCGUCUUUUAUGGAAAAAUAUUUUUACCUGGGAAGCAAUGGACCCUAUAGAAUUAUCAUCAAAAAAAGGAAGUUUUCCAGGGGCAAAGACAACCCUGGGCACACGGGUUUUGUUGAAGCGGACCACAUCCCACCCCUGAACUCCCUGAAGAGGGCUGCGCUAGAGCCUGAGUUUGAGGCGCUGGAGGAAAUAAAUCCGGUCCUUUAUGGUAUGGUGAAGAGCCUGGAGAACGAUCCGCGGGGGAAAAAUCUCUUCACCGUCCAGGUCCUCAAGCAAAAUCACAUGGCCGCUCUGUCCAGCGGCAAUAGUAGAGAGUCUGUUGAUGUCAGGGGUCUUCUCGCACGUAGAAUUGCAAGAGGAGAAGUGAUGUCAAUGUUGAAGCAAGCCAUGUUGGCCGCCCACCCAUUUGCUUCCCGGCAAAUAAGAGACCAAACAGGAAUACGGAGAACACCCCCAAAAGGCCAAAUAACAAUUUCAAGGCAAAGAACGAUGAAGAUCUACCAAGAGGCCUUCCGGGGAUUGAUCGACUUUAACUUCGCCAGAGGGGUCAUCACUGAAGAAGAGUGUGAUGUGCUAAAGAAAUAUGUCGAAAAACAUUAUGGCGUAAAUGGGGACUUUGACAUAGUUUCCGAUGAAUACCAAGAGGUCCUUGCAACCGUGAAUAACUCAAAAAGAUGAAAAAUAUGUAGCUUCCUCAUAUGUUUACAUAUUAAAUAUUUUCACCAUAAAGUCUAAAAGGAAGCUUGUAUGGCCCUGCAUGUAUUGUAUCUUUGUGCGAUCUUUCAAGUAACGUUAUGCGUUAAAUUUGCGAUGGCGUUUUACCGCUUUCAACUACUUGGCAUGUUAUUACAUUUAGCUGUAUUCAUAUAUUCAGAGCAAUAUUUUACAUGACAGCUAUAGUUAAAUAUAUAUAUAGUUGCCUAAAUAAAUACUACCAUGAAUAGAUUCUGGUGUCUGUCGUGUUUCUAAUUCAAGCCCUCCUGGUGUAGACCAGGACAGAGUUAUCAGCAAUAGUAUCUGUCUGCGUCCUGCAAGACGGAGGCGUAACUUGUAGUAGGAGGCGUAACUUGUAGUCGGAGGAGGCGUAACUUGUAGUCGGAGGAGGCGUAACUUGUAGUCGGAGGAGGCGUAACUUGUAGUAGGAGGCGUAACUUGUAGUAGGAGGCGUAACUUGUAGUCGGAGGAGGCGUAACUUGUAGUAGGAGGCGUAACUUGUAGUCGGAGGAGGUGUAACUUGUAGUAGGAGGCGUAACUUGUAGUCGGAGGAGGCGUAACUUGUAGUCGGAGGAGGCGCAACUUGUAGUAGGAGGCGUAACUUGUAGUAGGAGGCGUAACUUGUAGUAGGAGGCGUAACUUGUAGUCGGAGGAGGCGUAACUUGUAGUCGGAGGAGGCGUAACUUGUAGUAGGAGGCGUAACUUGUAGUAGGAGGCGUAACUUGUAGUAGGAGGCGUAACUUGUAGUCGGAGGAGGCGUAACUUGUAGUCGGAGGAGGCGUAACUUGUAGUAGGAGGCGUAACUUGUAGUAGGAGGCGUAACUUGUAGUAGGAGGCGUAACUUGUAGUCGGAGGAGGCGUAACUUGUAGUCGGAGGAGGCGUAACUUGUAGUAGGAGGCGUAACUUGUAGUAGGAGGCGUAACUUGCAGUCGGAGGCGUGUCUAGUACUUUUCUAAUUCGCGGAAGUGAAUUACUUAAAACUGACAUCCCUGAGUC